rnacentral:rRNA from 1 species
GGGAUAGAAUUCCAGGAGUAGCGGUGAAAUGCGUAGAUAUCUGGAGGAAUACCAAAGGCGAAGGCAGUCCCCUGGUCCGAUACUGACACUGAGGUACGAAAGCGUGGGGAGCAAACAGGAUUAGAUACCCUGGUAGUCCACGCCCUAAACGAUGUCGAUUAGCCAUUGGAAGGACCCCUUUUCCUUUCAGUGACGUAGCUAACGCGUUAAAUCGACCGCCUGGGAAGUACGACCGCAAGGUUAAAACUCAAAGGAUUUGACGGGGACCUGAACAAGCGGUGAAUGAUGUGGAUUAAUUCGAUGCUACGCGAAGAACCUUACCUACCUUUGACAUGGCCAAAGUUCUACCGAGAGGCGGAAGUACUCGUAAGAGGAUUGGCGCACAGGUGCUGCAUGGUUGUCGUCAGUUCGUGUCGUGAGAUGUUGGGUUCAGUCCCGCAACGAACGCAACCCUUAUCUUUAAUUGCUCCUAUUUUAACAGGCACUUUAAAGAAACUGCCAAUGAUAAGUUGGAGGAAGGUGGGGAUCACGUCAAGUCCGCAUGGCCUUUAUAGGUAGGGCUUCACACGUCAUACAAUGGUUAGAACAAAGAGCUGCAAAUUCGUAAGAAGGAGCCAAUCUCACAAACCUAACCUCAGUUCGAAUUGCGGUCUGCAACUCGAGCGCAUGAAGCCGGAAUCGCUAGUAAUCGUGGAUCAGAAUGCCACGGUGAAUACGUUCUUAGGUCUU